UGAAAUUACGAUAAAACUUUAUAUUACAUAAUUUAUCCAUAAAAAACAUCGCAAAUUUUACAAAAAUUACGAUAAUUAAUGUCGAAUGUGGCCUCCAGUACCACAUUGUCGAGGUUUUCUCAUACGUACGCGAUUUUGAAGAGUAUUCCAAAAGCUUGAAAUUUGAAAGUUUUGUUGACACAUAUUAUUCAGUAACUGGGUAGCGAACUCAUGUGUAUUAUGACGAGUAUUGAACGUGUUAUACAACAAUUCAUCUUCGCUUGAUGCAAAUGAUAGUCGACGAUUGUCUUCUUGAUGUGGUUGUUUGCUAUCAAAAUUAAAUUGUUCCCCUGGCGUGAACCCGUAAGAUUUAUGUGGUGUGUGGGUAAAAGUAUGAGGAUGUGGUGUGUGGGUAAAAGUAUGAGGAUGUGGUGUGUGGGUAAAAGUAUGAGGAGGCGAUUAAGUGUCAGGAGGUGUUGGUAUAUAAUGUUGAUUUUGUUGUGUUGGACAUUAAUUCUUGGAAAAAAUGUUGGUUAGAUUGUAGUGGAGGUUGGGGUGAAAAAAAUGUUGACUAGAUUGUAGUGGAGGUUGAGGGUGAAAAAAAUGUUGGCUAGAUUGUGGUGGGGUUGGGAUGGAUUGACACGAGGAUUAACCAAUUGGUUUUCUACAGAAAUAAAUCGUUUAUAAUUUUUACAAAACCAAACCAUGUAUUCAUAACUUGGUUUGAAUUCAACAUUUAGAGGUUGACCGUGAAGAAUAUGAUUCUCUCGUUUAUUCCACUCUUUGUUCUCAUUUUCGUAGAAUAAUGUCCAACUAUAGUCAACUUGUUCUCAUUCCACUCUUUGUUCUCAUAACAAGCUUGACUCUAACAUCAUAUGAGAAAGUAUAAAGUCGCUUUUGAAAGCUGAUCCAUCAAUUAAAGUGAAGGUGAUCAUUGCACAUAUUUGGGAACGAUACAACUACACAAUAUCCUAUAGAAAGACAUGGAUGGCAAAGAAGGUAUGUAACACCUUAAGUCGACGUUUGUUUGAUUUCAGAUAGACACGAAUCCAUUAAAAGUGCUUAUAAUAAUCUAAAUAAUGGUUGACAUGAUCCUCCGUCAACACAUGUUUACUGCAUCCGACACAUUGCACAAAAUUUCACGAGAGAGUUCAAGGACAAGGAACUUCAAAGAAAACUUGUUUGUAUGGGAUAUGCAUUAAAUGAACCAUCAUUCAGAUAUUACUGCAAUGAAAUCAAGAUGGCAAAUUCAUAGGCUUUAAGAUGGAUCGAUAAUAUCCUCCCAGAACAAUGGACUAUGACUUAUUCUCAAGGACGACGAUGGGGACACAUGACAAUAAACAUUUCCGAGUCAAUCAACGCAGUGCUCAAGGGUACACGCAAUCUCUCAAUCACUGCUUUGGUACAAUCAACAUACUAUAGAUUGAGAGUUUUAUAUGCAGAAAGGGGACAACAACAUCAGACAUCAUUAGCUUCUGGUCGAGUAUACAUAGACGAUUGCAUGGACAAGAUUAAAUGUGAAGUUGGUAAAUUUAAUACUCACCAAGUCAUGGAAUUCGACCAUAAUCAUUAUUCUUUCAUGGUGCAUGAAACAGUAAACCAAAGAUAGGUGCGACCAAUUGGUCAUUUUGAAGUCAACCUUCAAAGAAAAUGGUGUGAUUGUGGAAAAUUUCAGGCUAUACAUAUUCCUUGUUCACAUGUCAUAGCUACAUGUUCUUUUGCUCGUCAAAACUAUUUAGUGCUUCUAUUUGAUGUGUACAAGGUUGCUAAUGUAUUUAACAUCUACAAAGAAGAGUUUCCACUUAUACCUAAUGAAGGAUAUUGGCCCACAUUGAAAUAAA